GCCUUAAGUUCCGAAUAAAUAGUAGUUUUCAGGUACAAAUUUAGUGUGGUAGUGAGCGGGGUGUUACAUCCCCCCCCACCUUAAAAAAAUUUGGUUCUUCAAAUUUGUUUUGAAUAGGUCAGGGAACUUCUCUCUUAUCUCACUUUCCAACUCCCACGUCACCUCUUCCGGAGUAUGGUGCUGCUACUGCACCUUCACCAUGGGGAUCAUUUUGUUGCAUAAAAC
rnacentral:lncRNA from 1 species